rnacentral:misc_RNA from 1 species
AACGCACAUAGCGCCCCCUGGUAUUCCGGGGGGCAUGCCUGUUCGAGCGUCAUUACACCGCUCAAGCCUCGCUUGGUAUUGGGCGCCGCGCUUCGGCGCGCGCCUCAAUGUAUCCGGCUGAGUCGACCGUCUCUAAGCGUUGUGGCACUUUAUGUUUCCGCUUGUGAGCUCGGGAGGUCUCGCGCCGUUAAACACCCCAUCAAAGGUUGACCUCGGAUCAGGUAGGGAUACCCGCUGAACUUAAGCAUAUCAAUAAGCGGAGGAGACAGUCGUGCAGCUAUACGUGUGAAUCAUCGAAUCUUUGAACGCACAUUGCGCCCCUGGUAUUCCGGGGGGCAUGCCUGUUCGAGCGUCAUUACACCACUCAAGCCUCGCUUGGUAUUGGGCGCCGCGCUUCGGCGCGCGCCUCAAUGUAUCCGGCUGAGUCGACCGUCUCUAAGCGUUGUGGCACUUUAUGUUUCCGCUUGUGAGCUCGGGAGGUCUCGCGCCGUUAAACACCCCAUCAAAGGUUGACCUCGGAUCAGGUAGGGAUACCCGCUGAACUUAA